UACGGAGGGUGCGAGCGUUGCUCGGAAUCACUGGGCGUAAAGCGUACGCAGGCUGUCUCGUAAGUCGGGUGUGAAAGCCCGGGGCUCAACCCCGGAAUUGCGCCCGAGACUGCGGGGCUUGAAUGCGGGAGAGGGAAGCGGAAUUCCUGGUGUAGAGGUGAAAUUCGUAGAUAUUCGGAAGAACACCAGUGGCGAAGGCGGCUCACUGGACCGGUAUUGACGCUGAGGUGCGAAAGCGUGGGGAGCAAACAGG
rnacentral:rRNA from 1 species